AGAGUUUGAUCCUGGCUCAGAAUCAACGCUGGCGGCGUGCCUAACACAUGCAAGUCGAACGGGAAAGUCCCGCAAGGGAUGAGUAUAGUGGCGUACGGGUGAGUAACACGUAGCUAACCUACCCUCGAGUGUGGAAUAACCUGGGGAAACCCGGGCUAAUACCGCAUAAUAUCCGGGUGGCGCAAGUCGCCUGGAGCAAA
rnacentral:rRNA from 1 species